GCAAUGGUCGACUAGGGUUCCGGUUCGCUGAGUAAGCCUGCAGCGAAUGGCUGGUCCGAGAGUCGACGACCUCACGCAGUGGCCACGGCCAGGGGUUACACGGCGGGAUAAAAGCCCGGGAGAA
rnacentral:sRNA from 1 species